rnacentral:ncRNA from 1 species
UCUCAAGCGUGAGGUAAGAGCAUUUGGUGGAUGCCUUGGCAUGUACAGGCGAUGAAGGACGUGGCACGCUGCGAUAAGCGUCGGGGAGUUGUGAGCAAACUUUGAUCCGGCGAUUUCCGAAUGGGGAAACCCACCUUCACCAUUUCUUCCAGUCGGCUUUCGGGCCGGCCGGGCGAGGUGGAUAAGGUAUCACCGAGCUGAAUAUAUAGGCUUGGUGAAGCAAACCCGGGGAACUGAAACAUCUCAGUACCCGGAGGAAAAGACAUCAACAGAGAUUCCCGUAGUAGUGGCGAGCGAACCGGGACCAGGCCAGUGCCUUCAUUUCAACUAGCAGAACACUCUGGAAAGUGUGACCAUAGCGGGUGACAGUCCCGUAUGCGAAAGUGAUGAUGAAGGACUAGAGUAGGGCGGGACACGUGAAAUCCUGUCUGAACAUGGGGGGACCACCCUCCAAGCCUAAAUACUCGUACAUGACCGAUAGCGAACACAGUACCGUGAGGGAAAGGUGAAAAGCACCCCGAUUAGGGGAGUGAAACAGUACCUGAAACCGGAUGCUUACAAGCAGUUGGAGCCCCAUAGGGGGUGACAGCGUACCUCUUGCAUAAUGGGUCAGUGACUUAAUCUAGCAUGCGAGCUUAAGCCGUUAGGUGUAGGCGAAGCGAAAGCGAGUCUGAAUAGGGCGACUGAGUAUGUUGGAUUAGACCCGAAACCCGGCGAUCUAGGCAUGAGCAGAUUGAAGGUGCGGUAACACGCACUGGAGGAUCGAACCGUUGCAUGUUGAAAAAUGCUCGGAUGACUUGUGUUUAGGGGUGAAAGGCCAAUCAAGCCGGGAAAUAGCUGGUUCUCCGCGAAAUCUAUUGAGGUAGAGCGUCAGAUGUAUGCCGAUGGGGGUAGAGCACUGGAUGGGCUAGGGCUGCGCGAGCGGUACCAAACCUAACCAAACUCCGAAUACCAUCGAGACUUGUCUGGCAGACAGACGGCGGGUGCUAAGGUCCGUCGUCAAAAGGGAAACAGCCCUAACCUACAGCUAAGGUCCCCAAGUCGUAUCUAAGUGGGAAAGCAUGUGGGAAUCCCAAAACAACCAGGAGGUUGGCUUAGAAGCAGCCAUCCUUUAAAGAAAGCGUAACAGCUCACUGGUCUAAAUAAGGGUUCCUGCGGCGAAGAUGUAACGGGGCUAAAGAUACGCACCGAAGCUUAGGGUUGCAGUUUACUGCAGCGGUAGCGGAGCGUUCCGUAAGCGAGUGAAGGAGAAGGGUAACCGACUCUGGACGUAUCGGAAGUGCGAAUGCUGACAUGAGUAGCGACAAACAGGGUGAGAUACCCUGUCGCCGAAAGACCAAGGGUUCCUACGCAAUGCUAAUCAGCGUAGGGUGAGCCGGCCCCUAAGACGAGCCCGAAGGGGGUAGUCGAUGGGAACCACGUUAAUAUUCGUGGGCCUGGAGAUGUGUGACGGAUCUCGUAAAUUGUCCUUCCUUAUUGGAUUGGUUGGGCAGUGAAGAGGUUCCAGGAAAUAGCCUCUCCAUAUAGACCGUACCCGAAACCGACACAGGUGGUCAGGUAGAGUAUACCAAGGCGCUUGAGAGAAGUAUCCUGAAGGAACUCGGCAAAUUGCCUCCGUACCUUCGGAAGAAGGAGGCCCCAUCUAUGCGCAAGCACUGGUGGGGGGCACAGGCCAGGGGGUAGCGACUGUUUAUCAAAAACACAGGACUCUGCUAAGUCGGCUUCAA